GUGCUGGGAUUACAGGCGUGAGCCACCGCGCCUGGCUGGUGGUUAUUUAAAAUGAUCUGUGUACACUUCUUAUCUCUCCUACUAGAUUUAAUCUCCUUGAGGUGCUUCCAUCUCUGUAACCCUCAAAAUGCCUUCUUCAUAUUCAGUAUAUGUUUGUGAAUGGAACGUAUACUCUCCUCAUCUUCCUGAAGCAUACAGGCAUGACCUUUGCUUUUCCAAAUACCCAUUCCCAAGGGCUUGUGACACAAGACAGUGAGAAGGUGAAGGACAGCUUACUUUCCCCUGUGGAUCCCCUUGCAAUUUAAUACACAGGAGCGUGAGAAUGUCACACAGGCAGGUUCUUAUUUAAAUUCCUGGUAGCUGAGCCCAGCAGCAUGUGGUGGGUUUGAUUUAGUCUGUACAGCAUUUAACUCUUUCUAUGGAUGAAAGAUGAAAGUGGAUAAAAGUUCUCAUAGACUGUAUGGGAACCAGAUAGAUUGAGAAAUUAACUCAUGUGUUGUGCAGUUACAGAGCUCUAGGUGCCGGUCUGAUUUUUCCUUAUAGAAUCUAGAACUUAACUGACAUAAUUCCUGGGUACUUUCAGACACAUAGCCAAACACGUAGCCAGGUGAUUCAUUUGGUAAAUUCCAUAAGGUCUGCCCUGCCCUGGAAUGGCUUCUCAGCAAGGCUGUCUCAGCUAGGCUGGGAAGGAGGUGGCUUUCAGUUCCGGUUUCCAAUCAGUGACUUCCAAGAACUGGUUAAGAAGCAGGAAGAAUAGAAAGAGUUAGAUGGUUUCUGUGUUGGGCUAAAAAAAAAACCUCUCAGAUACCCAGUUCCUACAAUGCAUGUCUCCUGGCAGCCAGACAAGGAAGGAGAGAAACUGUGAAGGGUGCCAGGGUGCCAACAAGAGCACUCGUGUUCUUGGCAGAGCUCAGAAUAGCGUUCACAGCUCUCAGUGAUUCAUCAUCUGCAGGCCUGCCCACCCGUGAUCCAAGUGACUGAGGACGGGAGAUGAGAAAAUCAAGGCCCAGAAAGAAGGUGACUGACUAUUGGUCUCAGCAACACUGACAGUGAACAAAUCAAACAAGAAGGCAGGCACGGUGGCUGAUGCCUGUAAUCCUGUCAUUUUGGGAGAUGGAGGCGGGUGGAUCACUUAAGCCCAGGAGUUCAAGACAAGCCUGGGGAACAUGGCAAAGCCCUGUCUCUACAAAAAAUACAAAAACUAGCCAGGUGUGGUGGCACGCAUCUGUAGUCCCAGCUACUGGGAAGGCUGAGAGGUGGGAGGAUCACUUGAGCCCUGGAGGUUGAGGCUGCAGUGAGCCAUGAUUGCACCACUGCCCUCCAGCCUGGGCGACAGAGUGAGACCUUGUCUCAAAAAUAUUUUAAAAAUUAAACAAACAAGAGGGCUUAAGUGUCACAACCAUCAAUGGGGAAAGUGUCCGUGCAUAAUUUAUUUCUGGAAGCCCUGAGAAGAACAAGCAUCAACAGCUUUCUGAGAGACUUAUAACUUUUAGCUGAGGGAAUCUCAAUAUUUAACCAAAUAACACUUGAAGAAAAGCAGAAAUCAUCGAGACAGCAGCUCCUGGGAACUAGGUUUUAUGAUGUGUUCUAAAGACAUAAGCGAGAAGCCUGCUGUCACUUGUUAGCUGUGUGCUGAAGUGCAGUUUGGGGUGUCUUUAGGGCAGGUAAUAAAUUCCUUUCAGAGAUUGAAAUCACAUACCAACGUGAAUCUUCCACAUCCCUGAAAACUACUUAGGCAAGAUGCCUCACAUGACACGGAACUCUCGAUUUGGCAACACAUGUUGGGGUUCAGCCCCCCACAAUCCUGGCACAGUGUGGGUGCUCGCUAAAUAUUUAUUUGGAUAAAAUGGGCUUUCCUUAACUUUACAGUUUUCUGGGGAUAGAAGACUCAGGAAACAUGAGAGAGCAGUAUAAAAUGUGUAAGUACACAGUGGAAGGCUGGGGUUCCUAGUGAGGAUUUUAGAAUCUCACAAACGAAAGCAGCCAGACACAAAAAAAUACGUGCAAUAUGAUUCCAUGUACAUGAAGAACAAAUGUGGAUCAAAUUAACUUAUGCCAUUAGAAGCGAGAAUAUUGGUUACCUUUGGGGACCAGGGUUGGGGGUGAGUGUCUGGGAAAGAGAACUUCUAGGGUGCUAUUAACCCUAGCCCUAUUCUAUUUCUUAAUCGGGGGGCUGGGUGCCUCUAUGGAUUCACUUUGUGAUAAUUUAUCAAAUGGUUCUGUAUGUGUGCUCUAUUUUAAUAAAAACAUUUAUUUAAAAAUA